GCCCUUGCGGAAGGCACCUGAUUACACCAUAUUAGCCGUGCCGGCUUGCCGGCUACGGUGCUAAACGCCAAGCGGAAUAAGCACAGCGGACCCGGGGGCGGUACCCGGCGCCUCCACCACAAGCUGCGUUUGAGAUUUUUAACGGAAUUUCGGCGCGCGCCACGCGGUUUGUGAUGGGGGCGAAAUAGGAUCGACGCGUGUAAUAAAGGCUUGGUUUGUGCUCGGCAUGGUACCGCCGAUAUCGGGCCAUUUUGAUAAGUGCCAAUGAUAACACAGAAGCACUUGCUGUCGCGGCCUAACACGCCAUAACGACAACGGGGUUCGGGCGGCACCUGGCAACAGAAGCCGCCCACU
rfam:Metagenome sequence AHAA9893.y1, whole genome shotgun sequence.